rnacentral:lncRNA from 1 species
GUGAGCAAAAGAGACUAUAUUAAUGAACUAUAAUUUGGUGGACUAUAAUUUUAAAUCAAUACCUUAUAUAUAAAGGCAGCAAAGACGAUCCUAAAUUGAGUCAAUUUUAAAUCAAUUAGGAGUUAACUCGCUCAAUUGAAAAAAAACUCACUACAUAUCAAUCUCGCCUUCAAUCGAAAAUACCGUUCGUCUCUUCAGAUUUCCC